UUAAGUUAUUAAGGGCGCAUGGUGGAUGCCUUGGCACUAGGAGCCGAUGAAGGACGUGACUAACUGCGAUAUGCUUCGGGGAGUCGUAAGUAGACUGUGAUCCGGAGAUUUCCGAAUGGGGAAACCCAACAGGUUUUGCCUGUUAUCGCUCAAUGAAUUCAUAGUUGAGCUGAAGGUAGACGCGGGGAACUGAAACAUCUAAGUACCCGCAGGAAGAGAAAGAAAAUUCGAUUCCCUAAGUAGCGGCGAGCGAACGGGGAACAGCCCAAACCAGAGAGCUUGCUCUUUGGGGUUGUAGGACUGGACAUCUGAGUUACCAAGAAAUAACGUAGUCGAAUGAUAUGGGAAGAUCAGCCAGAGAAGGUAACAGCCCUGUAAACGAAACGUUGUUUCCUCAGUCCAGGAUCCUGAGUACGGCGGAACACGUGAAACUCCGUCGGAAUCCGGGAGGACCAUCUCCCAAGGCUAAAUACUCCCUAGUGACCGAUAGUGAACCAGUACCGUGAGGGAAAGGUGAAAAGCACCCCGGGAGGGGAGUGAAAGAGUACCUGAAACCAUGUGCCUACAAGUAGUCAGAGCCCGUUAACGGGUGAUGGCGUGCCUUUUGUAGAAUGAACCGGCGAGUUAUGCUAACGUGCGAGGUUAAGGCGGAAAGGCCGGAGCCGCAGCGAAAGCGAGUCUGAACAGGGCGAACGAGUACGUUGGUGUAAACCCGAAACCAGGUGACCUACCCAUGUCCAGGUUGAAGGUGCGGUAAAACGCACUGGAGGACCGAACCCGUGUAUGUUGAAAAAUGCUGGGAUGAGGUGUGGGUAGCGGUGAAAUUCCAAUCGAACUUGGAGAUAGCUGGUUCUCUCCGAAAUAGCUUUAGGGCUAGCCUCGGAGUUGAGAAUCGUGGAGGUAGAGCACUGUUUGGACUAGGGGCCCGUCUUGGGUUACUGAAUUCAGAUAAACUCCGAAUGCCACUGAUUUAUAUCCGGGAGUCAGACUGCGAGUGAUAAGAUCCGUAGUCGAAAGGGAAACAGCCCAGACCACCGAUUAAGGUCCCUAAAUAUGUGUUAAGUGGAAAAGGAUGUGGAAUUGCACAGACAACUAGGAUGUUGGCUCAGAAGCAGCCACCAUUUAAAGAGUGCGUAAUAGCUCACUAGUCGAGUGAUCCUGCGCCGAAAAUGUAACGGGGCUAAACACAUUACCGAAAUCGUGGAUGCAGCUUUGCUGCAUGGUAGGAGAGCGUUCUAAGGGCGGUGAAGCCGGACCGUAAGGACCGGUGGAGCGCUUAGAAGUGAGAAUGCCGGUAUGAGUAGCGAAAGACAGGUGAGAAUCCUGUCCACCGAAUGACUAAGGUUUCCUGGGGAAGGCUCGUCCUCCCAGGGUUAGUCGGGACCUAAGCUGAGGCCGAGAGGCGUAGGCGAUGGACAACGGGUUGAUAUUCCCGUACCGGUCUGAUUUGUUUGAGCAAUGGAGGGACGCAGGAGGCUAACGAUGCGCACUAUCGGAUGUGCGUCCAAGCAGCAAGUCUGUCGGCGAGUCAAAUGCUUGCCGGCUCAAGGACAAGCUGUGACGGGUAUGAACGAUUUAUCGUUCUAAGUGAGUGACGUCACACUGCCAAGAAAAGCUUCUAGUUAGAAUCAGACCGCCCGUACCGCAAACCGACACAGGUAGUCGGGUCGAGAAGACCAAGGUGAGCGAGAGAACUCUCGUUAAGGAACUCGGCAAAAUGACCCCGUAACUUCGGGAGAAGGGGUGCUGAUCGCAAGAUCAGCCGCAGUGAAUAGGCCCAGGCGACUGUUUAUCAAAAACACAGGUUUCUGCAAAAUCGUAAGAUGAAGUAUAGGGGCUGACGCCUGCCCGGUGCUGGAAGGUUAAGAGGAUGGGUUAGCGCAAGCGAAGCUCAGAAUUGAAGCCCCAGUAAACGGCGGCCGUAACUAUAACGGUCCUAAGGUAGCGAAAUUCCUUGUCGGGUAAGUUCCGACCCGCACGAAAGGCGUAACGAUCUGGGCACUGUCUCAACGAGAGACUCGGUGAAAUUAUAAUACCCGUGAAGAUGCGGGUUACCCGCGACAGGACGGAAAGACCCCAUGGAGCUUUACUGUAGCUUGAUAUUGGGUGUUUGUACAACUUGUACAGGAUAGGUAGGAGCCGUAGAAGUCGGGACGCUAGUUUCGACGGAGGCAUCGGUGGGAUACUACCCUCGUUGUAUGAACACUCUAACCCACGCCGGCAAUCACGGCGGGAGACAGUGUCAGGUGGGCAGUUUGACUGGGGCGGUCGCC
rnacentral:rRNA from 1 species